GACGAACGCUGGCGGCGUGCUUAACACAUGCAAGUCGAACGGUGACCCAGGGCUUGCCCUGGUGAUCAGUGGCGAACGGGUGAAUAACACGUGGGGCAACCUGCCCCUGACUUCGGGAUAACUCCUCGAAAGAGGAGCUAAUACCGGAUACGACCACUUCGGACAUCCGAUGGUGGUGGAAAGUUUUUCGGUCAGGGAUGGGCCCGCGGCCUAUCAGCUAGUUGGUGGGGUAAUGGCCUACCAAGGCGACGACGGGUAGCCGGCCUGAGAGGGCGACCGGCCACACUGGGACUGAGACACGGCCCAGACUCCUACGGGAGGCAGCAGUGGGGAAUAUUGCGCAAUGGGCGAAAGCCUGACGCAGCGACGCCGCGUGAGGGAUGAAGGCCUUCGGGUUGUAAACCUCUUUCAGCAGGGACGAAGCGAAAGUGACGGUACCUGCAGAAGAAGCACCGGCUAACUACGUGCCAGCAGCCGCGGUAAU
rnacentral:rRNA from 1 species